UCUAUCCUACGGGGGGCAGCAGUGGGGAAUAUUGCACAAUGGGGGAAACCCUGAUGCAGCAACGCUGCGUGAGUGAUGACGGCCUUCGGGUUGUAAAGCUCUGUCUUCAGGGACGAUAAUGACGGUACCUGAGGAGGAAGCCACGGCUAACUACGUGCCAGCAGCCGCGGUAAUACGUAGGUGGCGAGCGUUGUCCGGAUUUACUGGGCGUAAAGGACGCGUAGGCGGACUUUUAAGUGAGAUGUGAAAUACUCGGGCUCAACUUGAGUGCUGCAUUUCAAACUGGAAGUCUAGAGUGCCGGAGA
rnacentral:rRNA from 1 species